UACGAAGGGGGGCUAGCGUUGCUCGGAAUUACUGGGCGUAAAGCGCACGUAGGCGGCUUGUUAAGUCGGGGGUGAAAUCCUGGAGCUCAACUCCAGAACUGCCUUCGAUACUGGCGAGCUCGAGUUCGGGAGAGGUGAGUGGAACUGCGAGUGUAGAGGUGAAAUUCGUAGAUAUUCGCAAGAACACCAGUGGCGAAGGCGGCUCACUGGCCCGAUACUGACGCUGAGGUGCGAAAGCGUGGGGAGCAAACAGG
rnacentral:rRNA from 1 species